rnacentral:rRNA from 1 species
UACAGAGGUCUCAAGCGUUGUUCGGAUUCAUUGGGCGUAAAGGGUGCGUAGGUGGCGCGCUAAGUCAGGUGUGAAAUCUUGGAGCUUAACUCCGAAACUGCAUUCGAUACUGCCGUGCUUGAGGACUGGAGAGGAGACUGGAAUUUACGGUGUAGCGGUGAAAUGCGUAGAUAUCGUAAGGAAGACCAGUGGCGAAGGCGGGUCUCUGGACAGUUCCUGACGCUGAGGCACGAAGGCCAGGGGAGCAAACGGG